UAGGGAAUCUUCCACAAUGGACGAAAGUCUGAUGGAGCAACGCCGCGUGAGUGAAGAAGGGUUUCGGCUCGUAAAACUCUGUUGUUAGAGAAGAACAUAUCUGAGAGUAACUGUUCAGGUAUUGACGGUAUUUAACCAGAAAGCCACGGCUAACUACGUGCCCG
rnacentral:rRNA from 1 species